rnacentral:rRNA from 1 species
CUACGUGCCAGCAGCCGCGGUAAUACGGAAGGUCCAGGCGUUAUCCGGAUUUAUUGGGUUUAAAGGGUGCGUAGGCCGUUUGAUAAGCGUGCUGUGAAAUAUAGUGGCUCAACCUCUAUCGUGCAGCGCGAACUGUUGAACUUGAGUGCGUAGUAGGUAGGCGGAAUUCGUGGUGUAGCGGUGAAAUGCUUAGAUAUCACGAAGAACUCCGAUUGCGAAGGCAGCUUACCGUAACGUUACUGACGCUUAAGCACGAAGGUGCGGGUAUCGAACAGGAUUAGAUACCCUGGUAGUCCGCACAGUUAACGAUGGAUGCUCGCUGUUGGCCUAUUGUGGUCAGUGGCUUAGCGAAAGCGUUAAGCAUCCCACCUGGGGAGUACGCCGGCAACGGUGAAACUCAAAGGAAUUGACGGGGGCCCGCACAAGCGGAGGAACAUGUGGUUUAAUUCGAUGAUACGCGAGGAACCUUACCCGGGCUUGAA